GACGAACCGUCCAAACAUUAUUCGGAAUCACUGGGCUUACAGAGUUCGUAGGCGGUCUGGAAAGUUGGGUGUGAAAUCCCUCGGCUUAACCGGGGAACUGCGUCUGAUACUGGAUGGCUUGAGUUUGGGAGAGGGAUGCGGAAUUCCAGGUGUAGCGGUGAAAUGCGUAGAUAUCUGGAGGAACACCGGUGGCGAAGGCGGCAUCCUGGACCAACACUGACGCUGAGUGAGCGAAAGCCAGGGGAGCAAACGGG
rnacentral:rRNA from 1 species